rnacentral:rRNA from 1 species
AUUAGAUACCCUGUUAUUGUUAGUGUAAACUUUGGUUUAAGCGUCUACUGGGGUACUACGAGCAUUAGGCCUAAUAGACUAUGGGUUAGUAGUAAUAUAAGGCUUUAAGGGUUUAAAACUCAAAAAACUUGGCGGUGCUUUAAGCCUAUCUAGGGGAACCUGCCUCUUAAACUGAUAGUCCACAUUUUAUCUGACCUUAUCUUGAGCCUGGUGGUAGAUUGUUACUUAAUGAUGAACUAGUUUUAGGUCAGCGGGUUAACAGCCUGUAUAUCGUCGUCGACAGGUUGUCUUGAGAGAGAAUAGAAACUGCCAAAAUGAAAAUGGGGCUAGUUGGGCUAAAAUGUCUGUAUGUUAGUGCACGGCCUUGUUGUCUCAGGAAGUCAUGAUCGUGAUGCAGUUGAUGAUAAGGGGAGGGUGGGUUACAAUGAUUUAAUUUAUAGAUGCGGAUGUUGUCUUGAAAGGGACGGGUAGAAGUUGGACUUAGUAGUAAUUGUGAUUAGGUAUUAAUUAGGAAGUCGCG